rnacentral:lncRNA from 1 species
GUCAUAAAUGCAAUAGAGUGCCCGGCAGUAAAUGGAAUGAGUGGUGGAUUAGGACCACCACUCAGAGAUGCCGCAAGACAGCUUUCCUAUUUUGUCCAUAUCAAGUACUUAGCUUCUCUAAGGGUGGUAAUCUGCUCAUCAUCCACAACUUCCUUGGCUUCGAUUUUACAUAUGCUUCUUCUCUGGCCAAACUGCAGGGUUUUCAAACCUCUCUCCUCGUCUUUCUGUCCCCCGUUCUCAUACUAUAAAUGGCUAAAAGCUUCAAGGAAUAUCCACAACACCACCUGAAUGCUGUGCUGCCUUGGGAUUUGCUCUGCUAAAUUGGCUAAUCCACCGCUUUUAAAUUUAGCUUCACAGAAAGUCUCAGUAUGUAGACAAAAUGUAGAGAACUCUUUUUUGCCAGAAUGUAACAUGAAUGGCCUCUAGUUCAGUUUCCAGAAGAUUCCUGUUCCCUCUACAGCCUCAUGAGCGCCAUCUUUACUCUCUGUGUGCCUAAUGGCAUUCUUUCUCCUGCACUCCCACCAGAAUUGCCUGCGAAGCUCUGCUUGCAACAUUUUAAGCCUUCUCCAAACUGCAUCUCCAAACUUUUCCAAACUCCUUCCUCAAAC